rnacentral:lncRNA from 1 species
UUCAUCGGAGUGCAUAAGGUCGUCGUUGAAGCCGUAUGUACCAUCAUCCUUUAUCCGGUUAUCGAUGCCUCGAUAGCCGGCUACCUCUAGAGAAGACACUAGAAGACAGACGACCCAUACCGCGUGUCUCCUGCCAGUAUCGCACCACCUUCGAUCCAGCAGCAACAAUAACUCCACACCAGAUAGCCACUAACUCUAUGAUAAAAGACAAAAUCAAAACAAAAAAUACACAACUCAUAGGCCACGCUUGCAAGAAGGAAUCGCCGCACGUGCCCAAUGAUGACAAGUCCAACACAAGAUUAAACUCUGGAUUCUCGUCCCCGAAUCCAAGCUUCAACCCACCAUCUUAAACAAGGACACUACGCAGGCGCGUCUCGACAUAGCCUAAUCAGACAUCUUGUAUUUUCAUCGGAGUGCAUAAGGUCGUCGUGGAAGCCGUAUGUACCAUCAUCCUUUAUCCGGUUAUCGAUGCCUCGAUAGCCGGCUACCUCUAGAGAAGACACUAGAAGACAGACGUCCCAUACCGCGUGUCUCCUGCCAGUAUCGCACCACCUUCGAUCCAGCAGCAACAAUAACUCCACACCAGAUAGCCACUAACUCUAUGAUAAAAGACAAAAUCAAAACAAAAAAUACACAACUCAUAGGCCACGCUUGCAAGAAGGAAUCGCCGCACGUGCCCAAUGAUGACAAGUCCAACACAAGAUUAAACUCUGGAUUCUCGUCCCCGAAUCCAAGCUUCAACCCACCAUCUUAAACAAGGACACUACGCAGGCGCGUCUCGACAUAGCCUAAUCAGACAUCUUGUAUUUUCAUCGGAGUGCAUAAGAUCGUCGUUGAAGCCGUAUGUACCAUCAUCC